rnacentral:rRNA from 1 species
AUUGAACGCUGGCGGCAGGCCUAACACAUGCAAGUCGAGCGGAUGAAGGGAGCUUGCUCCUGGAUUCAGCGGCGGACGGGUGAGUAAUGCCUAGGAAUCUGCCUGGUAGUGGGGGAUAACGUCCGGAAACGGGCGCUAAUACCGCAUACGUCCUGAGGGAGAAAGUGGGGGAUCUUCGGACCUCACGCUAUCAGAUGAGCCUAGGUCGGAUUAGCUAGUUGGUGGGGUAAAGGCCUACCAAGGCGACGAUCCGUAACUGGUCUGAGAGGAUGAUCAGUCACACUGGAACUGGGACACGGUCCAGACUCCUACGGGAGGCAGCAGUGGGGAAUAUUGGACAAUGGGCGAAAGCCUGAUCCAGCCAUGCCGCGUGUGUGAAGAAGGUCUUCGGAUUGUAAAGCACUUUAAGUUGGGAGGAAGGGCAGUAAGUUGAUACCUUGCUGUUUUGACGUUACCAACAGAAUAAGCACCGGCUAACUUCGUGC